rnacentral:rRNA from 1 species
AUGGGUUUUGUCAAACUUAAUGUGGAUGCAUCUUUUGAUCAUGACUUGCUUAAGGGCACGGCUGGUGCUGUUCUCACAGAUGAUAAAGGAAUCUUCAUUGCUGGCGGAAAUUGGAAGAUUGAUUGGUGUGUUGAUGCCCUGACAGCAGAAGCUUUGGCUUUAAGGUUCGGACUAUCUCUCGCACAUAAGGCGGGUUGCAAUCGCCUUGUCAUUAAUUCUGACAAUAUGGAAGUCAUUGAUACCAUGAAGAAUGGAGGACGUUCAGCAGCGGCAGUGUUUGAUGAUUGUUAUUUUUUAGCGUGUGAUUUUCCUCUUACUAAUUUUGAGCAUUGUAAUAGGGAAGCGAAUAAGGUAGCUCAUGAGCUUGCCAGACUAGCUAAAUUUUCUGAGACAACGGAAUGGUUUGAGGAGCCUUUGGUCGAAAUUGUACAACCUCUAAUAGACGAUGUAACUGUUAUUUCUAAUUAA